CGAACCGAACCACUCCUUUCAUUGGAGACACCUUGAGCAAUACCAGAUCCCCCUCCUGGAACUCUACUUGCCUUCUGCGGAUGUCUGCAUAACUUUUCUGUCUGCUUGCAGCAGUCUUGAUUCUUUCUCUGAUUAAGGCUACCACCCUGCUGGUGAUCUCUACUAGCUCAGGCCCUGCCAAGGCCUUUUCUCCAACUUCUUCCCAGCAAACAGGUGACCUGCACUUCCUUCCAUAUAAAGCUUCAUAUGGAGCCAUCCCGA
rnacentral:lncRNA from 1 species